CUUGAAUAUUUAACGUGAAUCAUUUUGUAUGAGCAGAGAUGGUGACUGUGUCUUUAUUUAAAAUAAACAUAAAUGAAGAGCUGUCAGGUGAAAUAAGAGAAUAUUCAGGUGUUAAGUGUGAUUCCACAUAGUGUCUAUAAGGAAUGCUUGUGAUGGUUAGAACCAUCAGAGCCCUGCUCUAGAUUCUGGGGUUUGUGUGCACUCAUAUGUCAGUUUGUGACCUGAUCCUGCUUUUACAGAUGGUAUGUGAUUAGAGAUGACAGAAGUUAUGCAGGAUGCUAUUUCAUGGGAAUCUGAAGGCUCUUCUGGAAUUGGUACUGACUUGUGUUUUGAUACAAAUAGCAAAGAUGAUUCAAGUGGAAAAGCUUGGUGCUUUAGGAUACAGAGUAAAGUGGGUGUUGCUGUGCUGAAGGCAUGA
rnacentral:lncRNA from 14 species